CCCAGCUGUAGUCUGCUGUCCUGUGCCGUGUCAUGCCUGUGACUGUGUUAUACUGCUGGUAGAUGAAGGCACUGCCAAUAUAUACUAAAUGCCAUGAUCACUGUUCUAGUGGCACCUGGCCCUUAGUACAAGGCCAUGCUGUGCUUCCUUGAGAGUAUGCUGGACAGUUGUCUGUUUGGUGCUAGUAUGGAAGCUUACAUG